AGCGAACGCUGGCGGCAGGCCUAACACAUGCAAGUCGAGCGCCCCUCCUUCAGAGGACAGAAGACGGACGACAGAGAACGGAUGAUUCCCCAAUGCCCGAUGGGCUGCGGAUCCCGAUGCUGUCGCGCCGAGACGGACGAUCUGUCGUCCGUCGUCUGAUGUCUGUCCUCUGAUGGAGGGGAGCGGCAGACGGGAGAGUAACACGUGGGAACCGACCCUUUGGUUCGGAACAACCCAGGGAAACUUGGGCUAAUACCGGAUAAGCCCUUACGGGGAAAGAUUUAUCGCCGAAGGAUCGGCCCGCGUCUGAUUAGCUAGUUGGUGGGUAAUGGCCCACCAAGGCGACGAUCAGUAGCUGGUCUGAGAGGAUGAUCAGCCUCACUGGGACUGAGACACGGCCCAGACUCC
rnacentral:rRNA from 1 species